UACGUAGGUGGCAAGCGUUUGUCCGGAAUUAUUGGGCGUAAAGCGCGCGCAGGCGGCCUUUUAAGUCUGAUGUGAAAGCCCACGGCUCAACCGUGGAAGGUCAUUGGAAACUGAAAGGCUUGAGUACAGAAGAGGAAAGCGGAAUUCCACGUGUAGCGGUGAAAUGCGUAGAGAUGUGGAGGAACACCAAUGGCGAAAGCAGCUUUCUGGGACGGUACUGACGCUGAGACGCGAAAGCGUGGGGAGCGAACAGG
rnacentral:rRNA from 1 species